rnacentral:tmRNA from 1 species
GGGGGCGAACCGGUUUCGACGAGGGCAACGAACCUUUCGGCGCAUGCAGGGGACGUCCGUUCCUCUUCAAAAAACGGGCAACGCAACAAACGCCAACGACAACGUUGAGCUCGCGCUGGCCGCCUAAAACGGCUUAAGCACGCGGGACCCCGGAGCCCAGCCGAUGGCGCCGGCAAGUCCCGCCAAAAAAGUCGGCUGGUCUUCCGUGGCGCUCCGACGGCGGAAGACGAGAUUCAUUCGGAGAUGGUCCGGCGGGCAGGGGGCCCGUGCUCGAUCCGCCGGAUGACGACAAAGCGCGGGACAAGCAUGUAGAGCCAAAAAGGGGAGUGCUUUCGGACGCGGGUUCGAUUCCCGCCGCCUCCACCA